rnacentral:lncRNA from 1 species
GAGCUGCCAGAGUAAAGCAAAGAGAAAGGAAGCAGGCCCGUUGGAAGUGGUUGUAUUAGAAGACCUGCGAGUAAAACUGAAGAAAGAAGGAUAUUCUAAUAUUUCUUAUAUUGUUGUUAAUCAUCAAGGAAUCUCUUCUCGAUUAAAAUACACACAUCUUAAGAAUAAGGUUUCAGAGCAUAUUCCUGUUUAUCAACAAGAAGAAAACCAAACAGAUGUCUGGACUCUUUUAAAUGGAAGCAAAGAUGACUUCCUCAUAUAUGAUAGGUUUGUACAUACACACAAACACAUCCCAAAUUUAAAAAUAACUGUUUCGUAUCUAUUUAUUUACUUCCCAUCACACAUAACAAUCUUCUUUACUGUUAAAUACAAUGCCAUAUUUCAGUCUUCAUCUCAUAUAAUCUCUCUUUAACAUUUAGAAGUAAAAAUCACUCCUUAUUUUUGAAAUACUCUCAUUUUAAAAAAUUUCUAUGACACUAUACCCUGCUGGUUUUCCUCAUAUCCUUCCUCUUCUUUCUCCUCCUCCACACUUCCUCCUCUUCCACCUCCUGAUUUUUCUUCCUCCCACAUUCUUCCUUGG